AAAAAGAAAAGAAGCAAAAGUAAAAAAAUACAAAAAAAGCAAAAUAAUUUGUGGCUUUCAAAUUCUCCUCUCCAAUCCCACUUUCAACAUUUUU
rnacentral:ribozyme from 11 species